CUCCUCUCAAGAUCGCAUCCGGAGAGUUUCCAGUACUCUACCAGUCUCGGCUAAGAGAAGGAGAGUCAAGCAGAGGCCUACGCAUUCCGUUCCUAGCUUGGGCAGUGGCUAGCGACUGGCAGGCAGUCUGCUCCAAGU